rnacentral:rRNA from 1 species
UGGACGAACGCUGGCGGCGUGCUUAACACAUGCAAGUCGAACGGUGACGAGGAGCUUGCUCCUCUGAUCAGUGGCGAACGGGUGAGUAACACGUGAGCAACCUGCCCCAGACUCUGGGAUAACAGUUGGAAACAGCUGCUAAUACCGGAUACGAGACGGAGAGGCAUCUCUACCGUCUGGAAAGUUUUUCGGUCUGGGAUGGACUCGCGGCCUAUCAGCUAGUUGGUGAGGUAAUGGCUCACCAAGGCGACGACGGGUAGCCGGCCUGAGAGGGCGACCGGCCACACUGGGACUGAGACACGGCCCAGACUCCUACGGGAGGCAGCAGUGGGGAAUAUUGCACAAUGGGCGAAAGCCUGAUGCAGCGACGCCGCGUGAGGGAUGACGGCCUUCGGGUUGUAAACCUCUUUCAGCAGGGAAGAAGCGAAAGUGACGGUACCUGCAGAAGAAGCACCGGCUAACUACGUG